rnacentral:tRNA from 11 species
GCCCCCAUAGCUCAGCGGAUAGAGCACCCGCCUUCUAAGCGGUAGGUCGCAGGUUCGAAUCCUGCUGGGGGCACCA